GACGGAAGAAGACGACUUGAUCAGCACCUGCAUGUUUCAGGCUGACUGGACCAGAGAUCCGAACCGCAGUUGUCCACGUGGCUUCCAACACCACAGUUCAGUACACUACCACCUACGCCGCCGGGCUGAGCUCAAGACAGCACAUCUAAGAGCUGUGUGUGCGAGAGAAGUGGACCAGAGAGCUAAAUCACUACCCAACCCAAGAGCAAGUCAACAGAUAAAGACGAAAGCAUGAAGUAACAAGAUGAGCACAUUAUUUAGAAACAAAGAGUGACAUGUCUUCACCUUGAUGUGGGAGGCUGUGCACCAGCAAGUCUGCCGAGGUUUCUCAGAGAGCAAACAAUUGC